CCUGUCCCUAGAGGUAUUGCAGGUGUGGCUGCUGUGUCACAGGUUCGUCAGUAGGUGGCAGAGAGGAAAGAGGCCAUGUCUGUGCUCCGUGUUCUGAUCUAUGAACAUCUGAAUUAUUAGUACACUAACAUU